rnacentral:rRNA from 1 species
AGCGAACGCUGGCGGCAGGCCUAACACAUGCAAGUCGAACGAAGUCUUCGGACUUAGUGGCGGACGGGUGAGUAACACGUGGGAACGUGCCUUUAGGUUCGGAAUAACUCAGGAAACUUGUGCUAAUACCGAAUGUGCCCUUCGGGGGACAGAUUUAUCGCCUUUAGAGCGGCCCGCGUCUGAUUAGCUAGUUGGUGAGGUAAAGGCUCACCAAGGCGACGAUCAGUAGCUGGUCUGAGAGGAUGAUCAGCCACAUUGGGACUGAGACACGGCCCAAACUCCUACGGGAGGCAGCAGUGGGGAAUCUUGCGCAAUGGGCGAAAGCCUGACGCAGCCAUGCCGCGUGAAUGAUGAAGGUCUUAGGAUUGUAAAAUUCUUUCACCGGGGACGAUAAUGACGGUACCCGGAGAAGAAGCCCUGGCUAACUUCGUGCCAGCCGCCGCGGUAA